UAUAUUAAUGUUCCUGCAGUUAUUCGAUGCUCGUAGUUGGAUUUCUGGGGGCUGAGAUUGGAAGGUGGCCAAGGUCACCGCCGAACUCUUCCUUCAUCCACCUGUUAACGUUGUCCGGGAUUUGUUUCUCGGCUUCAGGCUCAGGUAUUUUACCCUUUCUAUAUAUUCAUUUAUUUAUCUUCUUUUUGAGUAAAUUAUAGUGUUUCAGGCAGGCGUGCGCCGGAAUACUUUAGCAUGGAAUAAUCGAAUUGGACCGUGUAUUCUUAUAGAAUUCUUCCUUAUUUGUUGGUUUCAAGGACACGGAAAUGGUUAAUAGGGAUAGUGUUUUCAGGGGAGGCAUUAGUAUUUAAUUUCCAGAGGUGAAAUUCUUUGAAAUAUUAAAGACUAACUUAUGCGAAAGCAUUUAUUUUGCCAAUAAUGCUUUCAUUAAUCAUUGAACGAAAGUUAGGGGAUCAAAGACGAUCAGAUACCGUCCUAGUCUUAACCAUAAACGUUGCCGACUAGGGAUCGGAGGGCGUGCACAUUCCGCCUUCGGCACCUUACGAGAAAUCAAAGUCUUUUGGGUUCUGGGGGUAGUAUGGUCGCAAGGCUGAAACUUAAAGGAAUUGACGGAAGGGCACCACCAGGAGUGGAGCUUGCGGCUUAAUUUGACUCAACACGGGAAAUCUUACCAGGUCCAGACAUAGCGAGGAUUGACAGAUUGAUGGCUCUUUCUUGAUUCUAUGGGUAUUUAUUUUAAUUUUGGUGGUGCAUGGCCGUUCUUAGUUGGUGGAGUGAUUUGUCUGGUUAAUUCCGUUAAACGAACGAGACCUCAGCCUGCUAAAUAGCUACCUGUCUUUCUUUUACGAGACUUGAUGACUUCUUAGAGGGACGUUGUGUGCAACCACAAGGAAGUUGAGGCAAUAACAGGUCUGUGAUGCCCUUAGAUGUCCUGGGCCGCACGCGUGCUACACUGAUACGUACAACAAGGUAUAUGCAUUUAUGCAUCGAUGCUGCUCCGAAAUAGACACAGCUAAAUCUUCUAAAAUACGUAUCGUGCUGCGGAUAGAUCGUUGAAAUUAUGGAUCUUGAAGGUGGAAUUCCUAGUAAGCGCGGGUCAUCAACCCGCGUUGAUUACGUCCCUGCCCUUUGUACACACCGCCCGUCGCUCCUACCAAUUUCGAGUGGCUCGGUGAACCUCUUUGGACUGUCGAGCAAUCGCGAAAUUAGAGUGAACCUGGUCAC
rnacentral:rRNA from 1 species